CUGUAUGGCCUUGGGCAAGUAAAGUCACCUUCCCUGUUAGGACCCGUUUCUGUUAUGAAAUUAUAAAUGUUGUCUGCUGUCAUACUAAAGCAGGACCACACUAUUGUGGAAGCCCUCUUAAGGCAAAGAGGUACCACACCAACAGGUCCUUUGGACCCAACUGGCUGCCUAGUGCUACCAAGAAACCAUACCCCAAGUACCUGUUCCUCUCUCGUGGAGUGCAUCAUCCACUCUAGGGGUUGUGUUAGUUCCCUUGCACAUUAAGGAUGUGAUGGGCCAACAAGACCUGUUUUUAAAGCAGAGCCUUGAACUACCAAGUAGAGCAGAGGCAUUCCUGUUAAAAAGUGCUUUCCCACAGUGACAAAUGCCCCAGCUCUGCUCUCACUUCAGGGCCUCAACACAUGGACCUGGAAAAGCCUGAAAUCUCUCCCUGGGUGUUUGUAACCAGAAUUUGGAACUAGGUUGUUUGCCUUCCAGCACUUUUAUUAUGGGCUCUUAAAGCUCAAGCACUGAAUUUAAUGUUCAAGUUAGUCCAUGGUGGGUGAUCGGAUCAAUAAAUAUUUAGAGUGGCAUACAGUCCAUGGUUAGAGAAUACAAAGGUCUUCCUGAAACUCUCAUCCAAACCUUGAAAUUCAUGGUAUCUUUCCCUCUAAACCUUGUUUUCAAUUGAGUCCGGCUCCACUCUAUUGCAAAUUGACAACUCUCUUUGAAGUUUGAGGGUUUUUUGAGCCAGGUAGGUUGGCACAAGCCUGGGAUUACCCAGCCAUUCCUGAUUGAGGCAGGAGGAUCACAAAUUUGAGGCCAACCUCAGCAAUUUAGGGAGACCCUCAAUUUAAAAAAAAAAAAAAAAAGGAUAGGGAUGUAACUCCGAGGCAAAGUACCCCUGGGUUCAAUCCCUGGUACCACAAACUAAAGGGAGAAUUAUUAGCACGAAGGACAAAUUGAUAAAUGUCUAACAACCAGCUCCCAAGGGAAAAGAUAAAACAAACAGUAACCCCCCCAAUUUAUAGCAUUUGUUCAUUUCAGCGAUGCAAAUGGCUUCACCAUGGCAAAUUUCAGCCAGUGACAUCAAUGUCACUGAGUUUCAAAAAAAUUCUACGACUUGUGGGCAGGUCCUGCUCUGCCACAUCACUUGGGCAUAUAUACCAAGGACCACAGACUGUGAUAAUUACAUGUAUUUUUCACUUAACCCUCAGAAAAUACAAGAUACAUUUUAAUGUUCACAUUUCACAGAUAAACGUUUUCCCCCCUUUUUUGUGGUGCUGGAAGGAACCCAGGGCCCCAUGCAUGUGGGGCAAUCACUAUCACUAAGCUAUUUCUCUAGUCCCAAAUGAACUUUGACACAAGUCGCAAAACCAAAAUUUUAAACCAAGUUUACAGACUACAAAGCCUAAAACUGUUUGUCUACCUGCCUUCCUUUCUCUCUCCCUCUCUCUUUUUUCCAGUACUGAGGAUUGAACCCAGAGGGACUCUUACCACUGAGCUACAUCCCGCCCUUUUUAUUGAGACAGGGUGUUCCCAAGUGCCCAGGCUGGCCUUGAACAUGCAAUCAUACUACCUCAACUUUCCAAGUCACUGGGAUUACAGACAUGCACCAUCAGGCCUGGCCCUCAGUUUGUUUGUUUGUUUUAAUAUUUUUUUAAGUUGUAGAUGGACAUAAUACCUUUAUUUUUAUGUGGUGCUGCAAGGUGAGUACUCUUACCACUGAGCCACAAACCCAGCCCCUCAGUUUUGUUUUGUUAUUUGUUUUCUUUAUAACUUCAUCUUAUUUAUUUUUUUAUAUGAUACUGAGGACUGAACCCAGUGCCUCACACAUGCUAGGUAGGCAAGUGCUCUAGUACUGAGCUACAACCCCAGCCCCCCCUCAGUUUUUUUUUUAAUGUGACCUACAAUAAGAUGUACAUUUGACAUUAUGACCUGGUACACACCUACACAAAAGGUGAUAUGACUCUUAUUUUUUUUUUUUUUUCCAGAUGCAAGACUGCAAGUCUUACUCAUGGGCCAGUUCUGAGCUGAAACUUGGUCUGGAAAACACUCCUGUUAUUUUCAUCUACAAAGCCUCUCUAGGGGUUAGUACCAGUGACCCACAGCAUCUUCAAGCUCCUGAUUCACCUGUUUCCCAAGCAUCCUCAGGGGGCUCAGGGAACCUUGCAGUGCCUUCAGAUUGGGAAAUGGGCUUGGAGGCUCCUUUCCCACCCUCCCAAUAGGGCCUGGAGCCAUCCUCUUCCUGACCUUUCCCACAACACUUCUCAAACUGAAUGCAAGGAGCACACUAGGAAGUAGAAGAGAAAGAGAAAGCAAAAGGGCAAAGAGUUUCAGUAAACAAGGGAGGAGCACGGCACAGCCAGAGAUAACUCAGCACUCCCAGCACCAGGGUCUCUCCCCUUCUCCAACACCAGCAGCUCUGCAUUCUCUCCUUGGCCUCUCACCUCACUCUCAGUAUUCCUCCCUCCGCCUCCCUUCACAGCUCCUUUGAAGAGGAGUGGACAGCACAGCCAGUAUGACUGGAACACAGAGAUGCUGGCUGGGAAAUCUUAGCUAGGAUGGCCUUGAACGCCACCCCCCACAUUUAUGUGCUCUUUUUCUGAUCUGUACAAUAAGGAUAUCAACACAUGCCGCUGUCAUAAGGACUGAGCAGGUGGAGGAGUGCUCUGCACAGUGCCUGGCAGGUCACCAGUGCACACUGAGUGAUACAACCUCGGAGGGACUGUGGUUGCACCCUCCAUCCCUCUGUUCUUGUUUUUAAUCCCAGAAACGAAUGGAAGGAAACCAGGAAAACUCACCCACAUUUUUCUGCUCACAGUGGGAAGGAAUUUCCUCCCAUCUCAAGAGGAUAGGUUGAGCACCAGCCGCGGUCUUAAAUUAUUUACUUAGGUAUAUGUCUCAGCAAGCAUGAGAAGUAAGAACCGCUGAAUCCAUUUUCCCAAAAAGGGAGUAAGUACAGAUUAGGUCACUCACCUAACAAGACAGGCUUCACACCCUGUCAGUACCACACCAGGGCAUCAGCUGACAGGAGGCCUCUGCAUCACCCAUUUGAAAGGCCAGGGACUGAGACUCAAUAAAGUCAAUCAACAAGCCCAUGGGAGUACUAAGAUGAGGACUCCACAUCCAGUGCUCCUUCCACCAGUAGAGUUAACCCUCAGCCAAAUUGAUGUCUGCUUUCCUGCCGUGGACCUGUCCAGACCCAACCACAGAAAGCCUGCUACAUAUCCAUUCUUAUGUAAGAAAAACUAAGCAGUAGAAGAGUCAACUCUGUGUUCAAGUUCUGUGUCUGAGAAAUGCAACUCUCACCUCAGAGAUAAACCAGCUAGUGAGUGGGGAGCGGGCAUAAAACAACGUAAUGAUGCAGGGCCAGGAUGGGGUGUGAUUCUAGGUGCUGCCAUGGCAAAGAGACUCCUGAGGCAAAGAGGCUGAGACUGAGAGGACAAUGCCUGCAAGAAGUGACUUUGGGUUUCCCAGAGCUGAGAGCUGGCCCCUCGUGGGGGUUUGCAAAGGUAAGAGAGUGAUCCUGGCAGGGGGACCAUAGACACCCAGGCCCAAAGGUGAGGAAAUGGAGCCCCUGGAAGUGAGGAAAAGCUAAGGAUGCUGGAGUGAGGCCUCCAGGUGGUGUCAGGAGCAUAAACCUGGAGUGAUGGGCAGGGACUUGGCGGGUAGUGCACCGGAAGUCUUAGUCCAUACCUGAAGGGCAACUGGGAGUUAAGCCAGGAGUUGGUCACAUGACUGGCCUUGCUAGGGCAGGAUGGGAGAAGAGGAAGCUGGGAGCAAAAGAGGAGGGUGAGGCAGGAGGAUUGAGAGUUCAAAGCCAGCCUCAGCAUAAGUGAGGCGCUAAGCAACUCAGUGAGACCCUGUCUCUAAAAAAUAUACAAAAUAGGGCUUAAGAUGUGGCUCAGUCGUCCAGAGUCCCCCUGAGUUCAAUCCCCAGUACCAAAAAUAAAAAGAGAAGGUAGCAGUAAUUCAGGCGAGAGUUGUGGGCCAGCGUCAGCAGCAAGAAACAGAGGUGGACGGAUUCAAAAAGGAUGGAAGAGGUUUGACCACCAGUGCUGGGGAAUCUGGCUGGGUGUGCAGUGGUGGAGGAGAGGCCUCAGCCUGGUUGGUGGUGGAGCCCUAGAGGAGGGAGUUGAGAAGCUGGAGAGACUAGUUCAGCAUUUGUGCUGAGCUCAGGGCAGAGAUGAGCUCCCUGGUGCUCCUGCGUCCCAGUUCUGUGCCUUCUGCUUCACAUCAACCUAAUCUACCCACCCCUUAUUAAAACCCUUCAGGGGAGUUUGGGGUCACACCUCAAGGAGAAUUGAAGAGGGAAAAAAAAUUCACAGUCAAUUCUUGCAAAUCCCUUAAAUCUCCAAUAAAAUGUAGUUUAGAGACUUACCUCCCUUCGGCAAACCCAGAGAGGCCGAUGAAUUCGCCUGCUCAGGGGCGGCAGGCAGUUUGGGUUUUUUUGUUUGAGACUGGAGCGAAGAUUGGCGUUUGGGGGCCAUCCUAUGAGGGAAGUCAAGGAGCAGACCCACAGGUCUCACAGCUCACCAGGGAGAAGUGCAGAGAACCGGUUGCCCCAGCUGCAGGGGCUUUAAACCAGCCCUGCAGCCGCCCCGCCUGUCAUUUACAUGACAGUGGGACAUCAAGACCCCACGCCCCUUCCCCCAACCUCCUCACCCUCCCUCCAAUCAGGAUAAACUUCUUUUAGUUGCACUCCUGCAUUUCUCAGCGGGGCACUCCUGGCCUCGGAGGAGGGGGCCACUUCUUGUGAAGAGUGAUCCCCAGGCUUUGUAAUCUCCUCGGGUCUUCCUGGGAAACAGCAGCGUGUCCCUUGUCCAUCCGUUCCCAAGUCCCCUCAGUAGGCAGUCCUGCCCCACUGAGAACACAUCAUCCUCCUCUUAUCCCUUUGGCCUCCAGAUUUAAAUACAUGCUGUUGGCUCACCUCUGCCUGGAAUGUUCUUCAUUCACCUCACCCCCACUCCCUUUUCUGGCUGAUUCCUUCCCAACUUCAAGGCUUCCCUUGAGGGAUAGAAGAAAAACUGGAUUCCCAAUCAAGAAUGUAACAGUAGGGAUGGGGGUGUAGCUCAGUGGUAGAGCACAUGCGGGAGGCCCUGCCUGCAAUCCCCAGUGCAAACAGGAGGUUGAUUGGUACACUCUGAAGAUCUGGGUGUCAGGUCUACCGAAGCUGAGUGUGUGCAUAUUCUAUGACACAGCAAUUCUACUCCUGGUUGUGUUUCCAAUGAAAAUGUAUACACGCGUGCACAAAUAUGUGUGGUAAAUGUGUACAAGAGUGAUUCAUAAUGGCCCAAACCUGGAAACUAUGUAAAUAUCUGUCACCAGUAGAAUGCAUCAUAGGAUAGUCACCGCAAAGGAACAUUAUAAAGCAGUGAGAAUAAAUGAACUAUGGUUUAUGAAGAAAGAUGUGAACGAAACCGACAACAUUGUUUUGUCCUUGUAUUGAAAUCAAGGGUGCUUUACCAUUGAGCUGCAAAAACCCCUUUUUUUUUUUUUAAGCCAGGGUCUUGCUAAAUUGCUAAAUUGCCUUGAAUUUGCAAUCCUCCCACCUCAUCUUCCCUAGUUCCUGGGACUAUAGGCAUGAGGCUCUACCUUGCCCAGCCAAGCAAUGUCGAGUGAAGGACAUGAGAAACAAAGCAACAAACAUUUAUUUCAAAGUAAAAAAGGGCUGGGCAUGUAGCUCAGUGGUAGAGCAUCUCUGGGUUCAAUCCUCAUACUGCAAAGAGAAAAAAGUCCAGAGUGAGGGUAGCCUUGCCUUGGGAGAGUGGGGAAAGCAUGUCAUUGAAAGGGGACAGACAGGGCUGGGGAUGUGGCUGAAGCGGUAACCAGCUCACCUGGCAUGCGCGGGGCACUGGGUUCAAUCCUCAGCACCACAUAAAAUAAAAUAAAGAUGUUGUGUCUGCCGAAAAAAACCCUGA
rnacentral:lncRNA from 1 species